CGAGCGAGCUCCACGCCGCCGGCCGGGAGUCCGGGGCUCACGGGUUCAAAGGGCCGCGGCCCCGAGGGGAUGCCCUCCUCGCUGUGCCCCGGGGGGCAGAAGCGGACCGCAGGGCGGUGGGACCGGCCCGGGCCACGGGCACUCCUUCCAGCAUCAGGCAAAUACAGCUGAGAGAUACCACAAAAAACACCUUUCCAGAUAGAAGAGUAUCCAUAACUGGGGUCGUUGACUCAAAAUAGCAAUGAUGACAACAACAGUGUGCUAAGGACCUAGACUGAGCCCUCACUAUGCAUCAGAGACCUUGCCACGCACGCACUGUGAUUUUCUGUGAUCCUUACAGCGGCUGGAGGAGGACUGAUGGGCUAAACAGAUUUAAUGCUUGGCUGUCAGCAUCCCUGUGGAAGACUCCAGCAGACCCACAUGUCCUACGGUUCAACUUUCCAAACCUACCUCUGUGUAAUUCCUAAGUAGGAGUCUGAGCUCUGUUGUCAUAUUUCAGUUUUACAGUUACUCUGAAAUAUUUUGAUCCAAAUAUGCCCUUAGUGUCAUGCUUUAUUAAUGCGAUGUGACUCAUAUUAGUGACUGCUUGCUCUUGAGCCAUAUGCCCUGAAUAAGUUAUCGGGUUUCAUUGUUUACCCUAAGUUUAAAAAAAAAUUCCAUGCGCUCCGACCUCCUGACACCUAAACCCAGCUCAUGCAGUUAAAACAGGAAAACUAGUUAUCUGAUAUCACUAAGGCAAAUCAGCUUGUAGAGCCGUCAAAUGUUUCCAUUUCCACUGGUGGGAGGGCAUUGUGGGCACCAUGGAUUAUUCAUCAAGA